UUCAUCAUGAUGAAAAUGAUGAUCACUAAAAAAAAUUAAAUCUAUUUUUCUUUUUUCUCUUAUUCAUCGCAUCGUGAUGAAGAUGGUAAUCAUAAAGAAAACCUAAAUUUAUCAUUAUUCUUCCUCUUUUCUUCUUCUCCAUCGCAUCGCGAUGAAAUUGAUGAUCAUAAAAAGAAAAAACUAAAAAAAAACCACCGUCAAUUUAGUUUUUGAUAGUAAAAAAACUCGAUUCGGUUAAACCAGAGUUAAAAAAAUCUGAAAGUGUUUACGGUUGGUAGUUCUUAGUUUCCCAACCGUUAGUCACAUACUACGUCUGAGAGAAUAGGAAAUCCUAACGGUAAAUUUGGUUUACGGUGAGGGGAAUACAACAGUAAGAUGUUGUUUACGAUUAGGUAUGCCUAGCCGUAGACGAUCCUGAUAAUCACAUAAAAAAGAAAAAACAAAGGUUUAGUUUUGGUUAGGAUUUCCCAACUGAAAAUGUUUAUUUCGGUCAGGUUUCCCAACCGUAACUUUAGCUUUCGGUUUGGAAAACCUAACCAUUACUCUUUCUGAUACUUAUAAAAAAAAAGAAGAGAAAAAACGGUCGGGAGUCUUUUAUUUCCCAGCCGUGAUUUAUGGCUGAGAUUGUUUCAAUUCCGAGUCGUAAACUUUAAUUUACGUCCGGGUGGACAAUGUUUCUCAACCGUAACUUCAAAAAAACCAGAUUUUCUCGAUUUUUGUCGGUAUCGAAUCAACAAAAUUGAUCAUUUUGUUAUAAAAGUUAGGAGUAUUCUAGCCCUUACCAAAAAUAAUUGGACAAGGGGUUAUAAAAAUUACUACCAAUGACCUAGUGAAGCCCCCAAAAACCCAUCUGUGCAGUCCCAAUAACAAGAUUCUUUUAAAAAUAAUACCAAUCAGGCCCCUGGAAUUUCUCAACAAUUAUCGGAUAGUCCCAGAAACCUAAAACGCUUUUACACAUUCUCACUUUACUGUUUAAAACGCUUGAAAGUGGAAAAUCCCAGAAACACUUCCCCUUAUAAAAAUCUUGAAACCCAUUUUCCAUCAGAACUCGAUUUGAAUCGCAGUUUAUCUUAUGAAAACCCUUGGCCGAUAUCAUUUUAAGGGUUUCCAAGUCUAUUGCCAAUUUUCAGCGCUGUAGUUUUGUGGAGAGUCUUAGACACUAUGAAUGCCACAUUGAGCAAGCUUGGGUUGCAAACCCGUAAUCUUGUUAAGAACCACAAGGAGUUGAUCUCAUAAAGUGGUGUCUACAUAUUGACUUUGUUGGGCGUCUGCUGGAUGUAACAUCGAGGAAAUCCUGUUUUCAGAACUUAUGAUUUGGUUGCUGUUAAGCCUUUGAAUCAAACUGUAUUUGAUCACGUCUGUAAAGUUUCUGAGGUGGAUUUAAUUGCUAUUGAUUAUUCGGAGAGGUUAAGCUUCCCAUGGUUAAAGCUGCAAUCGAGCGAGGGAUAUACUUCGGAAUAUCAUAUUCACAUCUUAUCUCUGAUAUUCAAGCCGGGAGGCAAAUUGUUACAAAUGCAAAGGUCAGAAUUUAGUAGUUUAAAAUUAAAAAUUUGAUUGCCCAAAUAGAAAUUGUUACACACAGACUCAGUACCACAUAAAUAAAUCUGUAACAUCUCGAUAUAUUGUAGGUGGGCAAAUUCUUUAUAACUUGUGUUUCAUGGGGACUUGUCAUAAAUCUCUCAUUGGCAUUGAUGGAUUUAAAGUUUGGGUUUAACAGUUGUUGGUUUGUUAAUAUAAAGAUUUACAUGAUUGUGUCCCAAUUCCUGAUAUUGGGUUGGUAUCAUCAUUAUCAAAGUGCAGCUAAAUUGAGUUUCAUGUUAAAUUUGCUUAAGUCAGUAGUACGUAGUAGAGCCUCUAACUUUUUGGUUAUCACAUUUUCUGUGAUAUUUGAUUUUAACAAAUCAUCAAAUCUUUUUCCAAGGAUACAUAUGUAUGACCACGAUUUCCAGCAGUUAGUGGAUUAGACAAGAGGGAAAAGUAUCAUUUCCAUAAGUCGUGCGUCCUCUGCUAAUGAACUUAGAGGACUUUAUGAUGUGGCAAAUCUGUUCCCUCUGCGUGGCCUCUCUAUGGAACGCGCAAAAGCUGUGACUUCAAAGAAUUGCAGGGCUUUAAUAGCUCGAGCACUUAGGAAAAAACAGUUCUACAAAGAAACCAUCAGGGUUGAAAAAUUCCAUCUUGUCAACAAGUAGAUACAAAGGAGCCUUGGUUUGCUGACUCCAAUAACUGGGAUGAAAUCUCCAGCAGCGAAGGAGAUAUUCAGUUGGAUGAUAUUGCAAAAAAAAUGUUGAGUACGAUAGGAUUUGAAGAUGUUGGAAUUAGAUCCAUGUAGUAAAAGUAUCGUCAAUGCAAGUAGUUAUGCAGAUGACAGACAUCUACGAAAGCUCUCCAAUCACAUUAUGUAGCUUUUGCGUCAAUUACAGCAACACCUUCAGUAUGGCAUAGCAGACUAGGCCAUCUCUCAGAUCCUAUUCUCAAGCAUCUGCAUCAGCAACCGUUCAUCAACUCCUCUUUGUCAUCAUUGUCAAGUUGAUAGAUUGCUAGCCGGUAAAACGUAAGGAAGAAUCAACUCCAACUGUGGAAAACAUGGGGAAUAGAGAAUAAGAACAAUGGAGGAAGCACAUUAUUAUGCCUUGACAUCAGGGUCAACUACUUCAUCUGUUCUUUAGAUAAGCUUUCUGACAGCAGUGUGACAAUAAAAUGUAAAGAAACAGUAUAGUUACAAGUGACAGUAGGUAUAUAAAUGUCUUUAUCUAGGAAAAUUCAAUAGCUUAGUGAAUCUAAAGACAUAGUAUAGUUACAAGUGACAUCAGAUGUAGACACUGAAUGUUAGUUAGGUCGUACUUGUAAAAUCCUGUCACAAAGGUGAGUGGUUGCUUUUGCUUAGGCUACUAAUAAGUAGUUGAUACUUGUCCAACUGGAUAUGCUAAUGCUUCUUGAAGUGCACUUAUUUGUGCAAGCUGUCUAUUUGUUUGGUGGCUUCUGUUUUACAUAUUCGCCCAGUGCAAGACAAUGGUGCCCUCAAGGUUUCUGGUGGUGGACGGCGUUGAAAGAAAAAUCAUCUCUGUAAUUUUCCGUUCUUGUCAACUAUUUCCUUCCUAAUUUUGUUGGGUUUAACAUUUUUGAGCCA